CUGAAAAACAAGUAUCCUUUGAUACUUUUCAGGUCUCUUUUCAGAGACCUUUGAAAGGGUUUACCUUGUCCUG
rfam:Calypte anna contig10157, whole genome shotgun sequence.